rnacentral:rRNA from 1 species
GCCGGCAGCUAGCUUUCUGCAACUCUCACCUGGUCACCCACUGAAGCUAAGCAGGGCUACGCCCAGUCAGUACCUGGAUGGGAAACCACAUGGGAAAGCUAGAUUGCUGCCAGAA